UACAGGGGGGCAAGCGUUGUUCGGAAUUACUGGGCGUAAAGGGCUCGUAGGCGGCCAACUAAGUCACACGUGAAAUCCCCAGGCUUAACCUGGGAACUGCGUGUGAUACUGGAUGGCUUGAAUCCGGGAGAGGGAUGCGGAAUUCCAGGUGUAGCGGUGAAAUGCGUAGAUAUCUGGAGGAACACCGGUGGCGAAGGCGGCAUCCUGGACCGGUAUUGACGCUGAGACACGAAAGCCAGGGAGCGAACGGG
rnacentral:rRNA from 1 species